CUUUAAAAGUUAGGCUAUGGAUUUUUUACUCUCACUUUUAUGUGGGAGUAUGAUUAACCAUUUAAACUAAGUAAUAAUUAAAUAUUUGUCCCUCUAAUUUUUUUGUUUUACACAUUUCUCCUAUUUCUUUCAAUUCCAUGUUCAAAGAAGAAAUUCUUGACUUUGCUAGGUUUUUGCCUCUUUUAUUCGCAUUGCUUGUUCUAUGUUUCUCUCUAUCCGUGCUGGUUCCUCGUUCUCUCCUGCACCGUGCUUGUUCUCUGAUCCUCAACGCCGCAACACGCUUCUGCCGUUGCCACUACACUCGGGGAGAUGGGAGGCCAUUUUGAAAACUUGUAGUUUCUGAAGCCCCUGGUUGCAGUGAUAAAGAUUAUUUUGAAGAAGUUUACAAUGUGACAAUUCUGCAUAGGAGACUGUUCUAUUUGUUAUAUUAGUCCCAAUUUAUGAUGAUUCUCUUAAUAAAGUUAAUUUAUCUGUGGAUUGCACAACCGUUUUGGAAAAUUCAGUUCUUACCUAUCAAAAGAUUCAAAACCUUGAAUACUUUGAUAAUAUCUAUCCUUUUUAAUUGUUCAUCUUCUGAUCUUCCUUCUUGUUCAUUCCGCAGAAUUCAUCUAUUGUUUCUAUUUAUCUAUAUAUUAUUGCAUACUUAUCCAGGAAAAAUAAAUUAGCAGGAGAUUUUAAAAGUACCUGACACAUGCCUUCAAUUUUCAAAUAUACAAUAUGACAGAUGCUUGUUUCUGAACUUAGUGUUAUUCAUGUCCGUAUUGUGCAAAUGGAGAUGUGUGGCGUCUUUCAGAUGGAGCUUAUGAAACAACUACUCUUCUCAAGGAUGCUGGAAGUUUCACGAAUCAAAUAUAUCUUUUUCCUCCUUAACCAUUGUUUUUUUUUAAGUUUGUCCCUCCUAACAUAGUAACAUGAUAAACACUGGCACAGUUAAGAUGACUGUUGUAUCCAACUUUGAUUCCCGCUUAAGGAAACUAUUGAAAGAUCUUAAUGUUUUGAAUCCGUGAGCUUCUGUAGUCCCUUCAAUAUGUUUUUACUUAACUCAUGCAUAUUUUAGGGAUGUAUUGAAAUCUUUGCAUUAAUGUUUAUGCGAACUUGCUUGUUGAACCUUUCUUAAUUUGCUCAAAUAUUACAGUGUCUGUGUACACCUUUCAUAAUGUCUAAUUAAUUAUGGUAUUUUUUACUUCAGUUUGAUAAAUUUAAUAUUCAUAACAAAUGAUCUCGAACAAAGAUAUCAAACUCUAGAGUUCAUUUGAAGUCAUGAAGCUUAGAUAAAAUUGAAUUGUGAAAUAUAAUUUGCAAACUCAAUUUAGGGAAUUCAUAUUCGAGAGUUCAAUAUCCUUGAUGGAGAUAUAGAAUAGUCUAUUUAUAUUAAUGUCUGGUUAAUUUGUUAAGAUUUGGAUUGGAAGUUUGGCAUGGGAAUGAAUGAUGAAUUAGGUGUAAGUAGAUUAAGUCUUGUUUUUAUUCUAUAUCUUAUGAUAUAAAUCAUUGUACUUAUUACAUAGAUAGAUACUCUUAAUUGCCUGACAUAUUUAGGGAACCUAAAAACUACUCGAAUGUAAAAGGUGAAGAAGAAGCACCAUAACAAAAAUAAUUGUGAAUCUGUUUCUAAUCAAUUGGUCAGUACUUUUUCAUUGAUUAAACUUGAUAAAGGUGGUGUUGGAUUAGCUUCACAAUCACAAGUGCAACAAUUCAAAGAAGCAAUUGGUUCAACUAAGUAGGAAGGGUUUCCAUCCCCUGCCAUAGUCACAAGAAUCUUGGACUCAUUAUUAUGAAUAACCACAUUACUAGGCAUUGUGCUUUAACAGGAAGAAGAGAUUGGCUGAGACGAAGGAAGCAGCUAAAGUUUUGAGGUUUGGAUCUGUGGUUCCAAUUUCAGGAUCUGACUUUGUUCGAGAGGUUUCACAAGCUCCCUCUGAUGUUUGGGUGGUUGUCAUCCUUUACAAAGAUGGGUAUGCUAGAUGACAUUUCUAAGUUCAAAUUCCAGGAAAUAUUUCUGAACACCACACGUCCUCAUAUAAUAUCUAUAAAUUACUUGGUGCAUUGAAGAAUUUGUCACAAGAUAUCCUGUAACAAAAUAAAUUUGUUAAGAUAAUGUCAACUGACUGCAUUUCCAACUAUCCGGAUCAAAAUCUACCCAUCGUAUUGGUAUACAACAAUGGAGCAGUCAAGGGAAAUUACGUUGGCUUGUGUAGUUUUGGACGAAGAUGCACUCUUGAAGGGAUUUAAUUGAUUUUAUCUUAUGAUGCCUUUUGUGAAACUUGUUAGUUUAAACUCUAGAAAUAUUUAAAUUUCAGAAACGUGAUAUUGAAUGCAUAUUUAUUUUCUUUCUUGUCUCUUUUCUAA